rnacentral:rRNA from 1 species
GGUGCUAACGUCCGGACACAAGAGGGAAACAACCCAGACCGCCAGCUAAGGUCCCCAAAUAUUGCUAAGUGGGAAACGAAGUGGGAAGGCUAAAACAGUCAGGAGGUUGGCUUAGAAGCAGCCAUCCUUUAAAGAAAGCGUAAUAGCUCACUGAUCGAGUCGUCCUGCGCGGAAGAUGUAACGGGGCUAAGCAAUAUACCGAAGCUGCGGAUGCACAUUUAUGUGCAUGGUAGGAGAGCGUUCCGUAAGCCUGCGAAGGUGCAUUGAAAAGUGCGCUGGAGGUAUCGGAAGUGCGAAUGCUGACAUGAGUAGCGAUAAAGGGGGUGAAAGGCCCCCUCGCCGUAAGCCCAAGGUUUCCUACGCAACGUUCAUCGGCGUAGGGUGAGUCGGCCCCUAAGGCGAGGCAGAGAUGCGUAGCUGAUGGGAAGCAGGUUAAUAUUCCUGCACCGUCGUAUGAUGCGAUGGGGGGACGGAUCGCGGAAGGUUGUCCGGGUGUUGGAAGUCCCGGUCCUUGCAUUGGAGAAGGCGCUUAGGCAAAUCCGGGCGCGGAAUUCAAGGAUGUGGGGCGAGCGGCCUAGUGCUGCGAAGCAAUUGGAAGUGGUUCCAAGAAAAGCCUCUAAGCUUCAGUCAUACGAGACCGUACCGCAAACCGACACAGGUGGGCGAGAUGAGUAUUCUAAGGCGCUUGAGAGAACUCGGGAGAAGGAACUCGGCAAAUUGGUACCGUAACUUCGGGAUAAGGUACGCCCCUGUAGCUUGACUGGCCUGCGCCAGGAGGGUGAAGGGGUUGCAAUAAACUGGUGGCUGCGACUGUUUAAUAAAAACACAGCACUCUGCAAACACGAAAGUGGACGUAUAGGGUGUGACGCCUGCCCGGUGCCGGAAGAUUAAAUGAUGGGGUGCAAGCUCUUGAUUGAAGUCCCGGUAAACGGCGGCCGUAACUAUAACGGUCCUAAGGUAGCGAAAUUCCUUGUCGGGUAAGUUCCGACCUGCACGAAUGGCGUAACGAUGGCCACACUGUCUCCUCCCGAGACUCAGCGAAGUUGAAGUGUUUGUGAUGAUGCAAUCUCCCCGCGGCUAGACGGAAAGACCCCAUGAACCUUUACUGUAGCUUUGCAUUGGACUUUGAACCGAUCUGUGUAGGAUAGGUGGGAGGCUAUGAAGCGUGGACGCCAGUCUGCGUGGAGCCGUCCUUGAAAUACCACCCUGGUUUGUUUGAGGUUCUAACCUUGGUCCGUUAUCCGGACUGGGGACAGUGCAUGGUAGGCAGUUUGACUGGGGCGGUCUCCUCCCAAAGUGUAACGGAGGAGUACGAAGGUACGCUAGGUACGGUCGGAAAUCGUGCUGAUAGUGCAAUGGCAUAAGCGUGCUUAACUGCGAGACCGACAAGUCGAGCAGGUGCGAAAGCAGGUCAUAGUGAUCCGGUGGUUCUGUAUGGAAGGGCCAUCGCUCAACGGAUAAAAGGUACUCUGGGGAUAACAGGCUGAUACCGCCCAAGAGUUCAUAUCGACGGCGGUGUUUGGCACCUCGAUGUCGGCUCAUCUCAUCCUGGGGCUGUAGCCGGUCCCAAGGGUAUGGCUGUUCGCCAUUUAAAGAGGUACGUGAGCUGGGUUUAAAACGUCGUGAGACAGUUUGGUCCCUAUCUGCCGUGGGCGUUGGAUAUUUGAAGGGGGCUGCUCCUAGUACGAGAGGACCGGAGUGGACGAACCUCUGGUGUACCGGUUGUCACGCCAGUGGCA